AGCCAUGCAGAGCCGCAGUAUAAUUAUCUUGUUUAAGUGCAGAAGCUAAGCAGGGUUGGGCCUGGUUAGUACUUGGAUGGGAGACCACUGAGAAUACACUGGGGCAGCAAAGGCUC
rnacentral:rRNA from 1 species